CCCAGUCCUGGGGCCAUGCUCCUUGGGAGCUCCCAGUUCCUGGCCAAGGAUGGCCUGGUUCUUGGGGGCCUCCCAGCCUACCCACAGAACAUGACCUCCUCUAGGGCCCUUGGCCAGGCCUGAAGCUGGAGAGGCAACUGGAAACAGUAGGGCAAGGGCCCUGCUGUCUCCCACUGGCUGCAAUAGGUUUCAGAAAAGUGCAGGGGUGCUGGGCUAAGGAAAACAACGAUUUGGGAAGAAAGAGGCUGGGCAGUGAGUAAAUGGACACUCAGGAUUGGGAACCAUGCAAAAAAGAGGUGCCCUGUCUGCUCCUCAGUGUGAGAGAGUCACCCCUUGUGCAGCCACCACACCAGUGUCUGGCCCAUCUCAGUCAUGCUCAGCACAAGGAAGCCUUUGCAUUUCAGCUCAUCUAGGACUAUGCGAGGAGGGUUAUUAAUAAAGUGCUAACAAAAGUUGUUUCCCAAGACACUUCUCUUUGAGGCCCCCAGAUACUGAACCUGCUCUAGAUCUGAGUACUUACCGCCCACCAGGGUGGGGCGCACUUCUGUGUGGAUGUGGGUGCUGAUGAGGAGAUAGGGCAUGGUGCAUGGGUUCUGGCCAGGCUCCCACUCAGGGCUUUGGGCUCAGCAUGGAUGCCAAACCCUCAGGUUCCAGAACUGCUGUAACCCAUGGCCUGAGUCCAGUUACUCCAGCUCUCAGGGCUGGGGUUUCUUAUAUUACAUGAAACAUCUAAAAAUAAAUAAAUAAAUAAAUAAAUAAAUAAAUAAAUAAAUAAAUAAAUAAAUAAAUAAAUAAAUAAAUAAAACAUAUGAUUAUGUACAGCCUUGGAUUGGAAGGUUGUGCAUUCAUCUGCUGGAGCAAAUUAUUGUAAUAAGACAAAGAAUCCAAGUCAAAACAGGAUGAAGGUUUGGUGGUCUGAAUGUGGGCUGUUUGCUCUUUUGUCAUAUCUAGUAGAUGUGGUUACUUCAAAGCUUCAUAUUUGUUUUUUGACAAGUUACUGUUGAAAACAGGUAAUAUAUGCACAUAAUACCAAAAAAAAAUUUUUUAUUGUGUAAUGGAAAGGGAGUCUCCUCCCUCCACCCCUAGUCCUUUCCCUCCUUGAAGGUAAGGACUUUAGACUUUACUGUUACUUAGGUGUUGUUCAGCCUGGGGCUGGGGCUGAGUGUGUGUGUGUUUUUUUUUUUUUUUUUUUUAAGUCUCAACUUUCUUCUUUGGAAUAUAUUUCUCUUCUCUUCUCUUUACACUCUAGGCUCUAGUCUAGGGCAUUUAUGCAGAGACUUGGACCUGUAGCUUUGUAUGACUAAUCCUAUUUGUCCUGUCCCAUAAAGUUCAUUCUCCAUAUCUGUCACCUGGCGCAAAAGUCCAUGUUUCUCACAGGAUUAGCCAGGAGGUGAUAAUAUCUGGAGUUUUUUUUUUUUUUUUUAAUAUUAGGCUUGCUACUUUUAAAAUACAUAUUUGAAAUUUUCCAUGAUCAAUUUUUAAAAAUUCAUAUUUCUUUAGUAGGGGCUCCUGCAACACACCUAUCUGAUUUUUUAAUUUGUUUUAAAGUAAUACUUAAUUGUAACCUACAAGUAAACUGUAGGUGGAUCUCUAGACAGUCUCAUCCCUACCCCCCAUAGCCACUCAAAUCAGACAUUCAAAAUUCCAAAGUUACAGACAUGAACUGGGAUGAUUAUUCAGCUUCACAAGCCGUUCUUCUCUUUAAACAUAGGAUUGACCUCAAAUUUAUUUUGAAAAGCCAGCUUCUCUGGCAGGCAAAAUUUGAUUUGAUUGAUACACUAAGUUUUUCAAGAGUAUAAAUGUCAUGCAGAGCAGAGGACUUAUAUUCAGCCUGGAACCAUACUUUACACAAUUUACAGGCUCAAGAGCCAGGGAAGGAAGACCUCUCGUGCCCAACCCUCUCAGUCAGACAGAAACCAAAGCAUGAUGGAUGGCUGGCUUCACUCAGCCACUUUUACCUCCCAGCCUAAUUUGGUACUCCUCCGUGGCAGGUGGUUAAGGAGUCAGGUCUUCUCCAAAGAUACACAGUCUAGGGAAAGGAGCGAGGCUGUUGGUGUUUUCCAAUUCAAGUCCCAUAUGGUUUGCCUGGGGCCAUUUUAUUUUUGAUGUCCUUUGGUGCUCUCUUCUUUGUCUUGCUGUUACCGGGUCACCCAAGGCCUCUUCAGUCAUCAUUGCAAAUAUUCCCACUGGUCAGGGAGCUCCCAGGGAGCAUCCCUUUAGAGCAGCUGUCACAUUUGAACAGCAUCUGCUUUCUGACAAGCUUGAAGACAGAAUUAAGGAAGUCGUCGAGCCUUUCCCAGUGGAAGUGGAGAACACAAACAGCCUUUGGGACUUGGAUCAAUACACUGAGUUUAGUGGUCUGGCAGCUUGUGUCAGGGGAAGGCAGGCUGAUUCCCAGAGGGGGCCAGGAUCUCAUGGUCCUGGCUCUGUUGUCCGUGCAGGGUCCUUAUCCUGGAAUGGUUCCCUCAGCCUUUGGCUCCAGCCUUUUCUAGACAGGGAAGCAGACCAAGGUAAAAUGCUUGCUGUGUUUGAAAAAGAUUCUGCUCGCUGCAGCCAAUAAGCCCAAUAGCCUGGGAGGUGAAUGACCCUUCCCAAGAGAUUUCUGUUGCGCCACUCAUCCGGCCUCCGGCCCCUCACACACUGCCCGCCCCAGCCCUCCUGCUCCUUCUCUCUGACCUGACUCCACUCAUGUCAGCUGUCCUCUUGCUGCUCCCUGGAUGGUUUCUCUUCAGGCCUUUCUGGUUUUAGUACUAUUACACUUUUAUUGGUUUUCACUCUCUGCUUUUUCUUUCCCUGAAGCUGUUUUUCCUCAUAACUCUGUAUCUUUUCAUCUCUUGUGUCCACUCUAUCAAGUGUGUGUCUCCAUCUGCUGCUCCUUGUCUGACUCUGUCAUGGCUUCUCAGAAUGUCCUCUUGCCUGCACCUUCGUAUAGCCUGCUGGAGGACAACCUGCCCCCACCUGGGCUUUGCUGACCCUGGAAAGAAGUCGGUACGGGGAUUUUGAACAGUUGGUGGAGGAGCCCUACCUUGAGCAAUCCCAGUUGUGGGGCAGGUGACAGCACCAGUCUGGGCAAUGACCUCAAAGAUGGCGGCUGUCUCUGGGCAGUGUGGCAGUGAAAUAGGAGGGGUAGAGGGAAGUAGGGGACACAGAAGUGACAGCCAGCACUCAUCGAAGGGGAUAAUCAGAGAAGGAGGUGAAAGAAGGCCGGGCAGCAGCUAGAUGUCACCAGGGAAAGCUGAGCAGGAGCUCCACGAGGGGAGAAAACCAGGGGAGUGGGACCUGCCAGAGAUGCUGCAGCCCAGCUCUGCCCAGCAGAGGCCAGUGGCAUGGGGACGGGGCCAGGAGAAAGGGGAGCUUUAAAGACCUUUUCUCCCCGUGCAUCUCUGGUCCUUUUGUUAUUUUCCUUUCCUGUUCCUGCCCUCAUGUUAUAUUAGCAACAGAAAACAAAACAAGACAAAAAGCAGUCUGUCUUUGAAAGUGAAUGGCAAAAUCUGGAGAAUUUGAAGCUGGAUGUACAUACUUCCCCAUUUGCUGGACUCUCGGGCCCCUUUGCCCACCAGGCAGCUGGAGCCAGGAGGGCUAGCCCCUUCCUGGAAUGCCUUGAAUGGAGUCUCUAUACCAGUUUGACAGCCGGAGUGCCAGUGGCAAGGGCAGCCAACAGUGGUGCCCACCCACAGAACCCCUCCAUGCACAUGGUGCAGGCAGGGGAGCAGGGCUGUUGGCCAACCCAGCUGGAGGGCUAGGACUGGUCUUGGGCUGGGCCUGGGCUGAGGGUUGGCUUCCAGUGCAUGAUGCCAAUCCUAGCACAGUCUCCUCUACCCCCAGGAAAUGAGCCGCAGAGAGGCUUUGGUAGAAGAAAAAGAAAGGAAAACUCUUCUCUUGCUUAAAAAAAUGUUUAAACUGAAGAGGUAAUAAAUGCAUGUGGCAAAAAAAAUUCAAAAGAUACAAAAGAAUAAAUGAUGAAAAGCCUCCCACUUCUGUUCUCAAGUUCCCCUCCUCAGGCAUCCUGGAUGUACCAAUUUCUUGUACAUUCUUCUUACUUCUCCUUUUUUAGGUCUGCUGUAAUCCAGAAGUUUUUAGAUUCUUGACCCAAUGGAAUAUUUUAAAUUGUUUGGAUGUAUAUGUAUUUAUGUAAUGUGUGUGGAGGGACUAAAUGAUUAAUAAAGAAAACUGUAUCUCGG
rnacentral:lncRNA from 1 species